GGGUUUGAGCCUGGCCCUGCUCUAACGCGUACAGGCGGUCUAACACAUGCAAGUGUUCUUUUUGUGAACUCCGCAAAAAGAAUGCGUCCGGGUGCGUGAUAAUCGGUUUUCUCACUCUAUUGAAGGGGUAGGCCCUUAUUCAAGCAUUCAUGCUUUCAAAGACAGAGAUCCAAUAGAGUACAAACCGGUUUGGAUUAGGUUGUUGGGCUGGUAACAGCAGCCCAAGCCCUUGAUCCACAGCCUCCCUUAACGGGGGAUGGCCACAGCGGAACUGAAACAAGGUCCGUCCAUUUUUAUGGCAGCAGUGAAGAAUCUUUGACAAUGGGCGCAAGCCUGAUCAAGCUAGCCUGGGAAAGGGACUUUAUUUAAAGCAACAAAGUCAUCAGAGAAGGCCUUCGGUUGUAAACCUUUCUCUCUUUCGUUCAAUAGAGAUUCGUCGAAAGAGACUUCCCCGGCUAACUCUGUGCCAGCAGCCGCGGUAAGACAGAGGGGGGAAGUGUUGAGCAUCUGGACUAGGCCUAAAGCGCGGGUCGGUGGUUAUUCUAGCUGGUCAGUCUCUCUCCGAAGGAUCGGAGGCCCCUGACCAGACUCUUUAACUUGAGUUUAAUCUCAGGGUAGGAGAACAACCCAAGAACCGGUAGAAUGGAAGUAUAUGGGUGUGAAUGCCAACGGCGAAGGCACCUACCUUUUUUUAAACUGACGCCUAGCCGCGGAAGCGUGGUGUACCGAAUGGGAUUAGAUACCCCAGUAGCCCACGCCGUCAACGAUGAGUGUUUUAUUUAAGGUUUAAAUACCUUAAGUAUAAGUUAAAAACGACAACACUUCGCCUGGGGAGUAAGGUCGCAAGGCUGAAACUCAAAGGCAUAAGCUGCCGGGUAGACCGGCGGUGGAACAUUGCGGUGGAAUCGAAACAACGCGUAACACCUUACCACCCCUUGAAUGCAAAACAAUCUUAUU
rnacentral:rRNA from 1 species